UCUCGAAUAUACAUGUACUGA
ensembl:piRNA 21ur-4237 ncRNA